CAAAAUGGCUACCAAAUCGAUUAAUGAGAAUAAUGUUUUUAUGGCGUAUGGACUAUGGUCUACCGAUUAAAUAUGCCAACGAACUAAAUUUCGAUUAGAAAUAAUCGAAAACGUCUUCCUUUGUCAAUGCCAAAGAUAGUAGAUUUGAAUAACCAGUUGGACACAUUUGUUUGAAGUUGUGGAUCUUGAGACUCUGGAGCAACUCUCGUUGGGUCAUGAUGGUAGGGGACACAGGGCUGGCUUUUUUGUGGAGAUGGUUGUUGUCACAGAAAGGAGCGAGGACAAGUCACACAUAAGGCACGUGUUCCAGUGCGGCCCCUGGCUGGACUCGCACAACGAUAACUGCCACAUGGAGACGAUGCUGAGAAUGAUUGGAAAAAGGCCAGACAACAGUGCAGGGCACACAAUGAUUCCAAAAAUAGUAUAUGACACUUAUGAUCUUCACUUGGCUGUCACAGAGAGCCAAGAGAGCCAUACAACAUAGUGGAUUUGGUCCUAUUGAUGAUGAUGAACAGGUGUGAGGUGCACUAAGGAGGAGAUUGAGGUCAUCAUUCAUAAGGAGUUUCAGAGCUAUCGAAAGGACAUACCAAAGUGAAUCCAUUUAAUGAUUAAUGUCGUAAUUUCCCUUUUUAACGGAGAGUGAAACUCAAGGAGGAUUUAAACCAGUUAAUAGCGCCAAACCUCAUGCUUGCCGGGCACCAAAAAUAUUAAAGGAAUGAUCUUUUGUGCAUUAUUAGCAGUGAAAUCAUUUUACAUUUAUCGAUGCUAAGGAAAUCAGUUUCUUACAUAUCAAAAAUGUAUUUAUUUUGUCUUUGCUCAUUGACAUAUAUUACCUAUUUUUCGGCAUGAAAUUUGAUUUUUUCUUAAAUUGUCCAUUUGUUGUUGCAUGUUUGCAUGGUUUAUAUGAUAAUAAACACCAUGCAUAAUUGUUUACCAUAUGAAUUAAAUUAAUUGAAGUUAAAGGCAAACAAGAAGGCAAACAAGAAGGCAAACAAGGAAACAGGUACUUUUACUGUUUACCAUAACAAUGUGUGUGUGUGUGUGUGUGUGUGUGUGCGUGUGUGCGUGUGUGUGCGUGUGUGCGUGUGUGUGUGUGUGUGUGUGUCUGUGUGCUUCGUCUACCUUUUAUUCCUUUGUAUGUUAUCUGCCUCCUUUUAUCUGUGUGUGAGUGGGUGUGUAUAUAAGCACAUGUGCGUGCGUGAUCUCCCUCUAAAUCAGUGUGUGUACAUGCUUGUUCUACCGCUAUAUGUUUCUUUGCUUGUGCUUAUGCAUGCUUCUUCUACCUCUCUAACUGGAGGUGUAUGUUCUAUUCCUCUGUUGCCCUUAGUGUGUCUGUUAUAUCUAUUUCUAUUCGUUCAUCUUUUUUUCUCCCUCUAUCUUCCUCAGUCUCGUGUUGCCAUUCACAGUCUAUCAUAUAUGUUAUAACUUGAUACCUGAUUGUAUAAAUAUUAUGUAUAAAACCAAUAAAAUGAUAUAACGUUGUA